GUGGCUCAGUGGCAGAGUGUAUGCCUUGCAUGCAUAAGGCCCUAGGUUCGAAUCCUAAC
rnacentral:tRNA from 1 species